GAAUCAGUACGCUGGUCGUGCCUUAGGUAUGCACUGGUGUCACUGGUUUCUCCCUUCUGACGAACCGACAUGCCAUUCACUUAGUGUGGCGGGAAAUCAGGACUGUUACUUUGAAAAAAUUAGAGUGUUUAAAGCAGGCUCGCGCUAUGAAUACAUUAGCAUGGAAUAAUAAUUUAGGACUUUGCUCCUAUUUUAUUGGUUUCUAGGGGUGAAGUA
rnacentral:rRNA from 1 species